rnacentral:rRNA from 1 species
CUACGGGAGGCUGCAGUGAGGAAUAUUGCACAAUGGGGGGAACCCUGAUGCAGCAACGCCGCGUGGAGGAUGACGCAUUUCGGUGUGUAAACUCCUUUUAUAUGUCAAGAAAAUGACGGUAGCAUAUGAAUAAGCACCGGCUAACUCCGUGCCAGCAGCCGCGGUAAUACGGAGGGUGCAAGCAUUACUCGGAAUCACUGGGCGUAAAGGACGCGUAGGCGGGUUGGAAAGUCAGGUGUGAAAGCCUACAGCUUAACUGUAGAACUGCACUUGAAACUUCUAAUCUAGAGUAUGGGAGGGGGAGAUGGAAUUAGUGGUGUAGGGGUAAAAUCCGUAGAUAUCACUAGGAAUACCUAAAGCGAAGGCGAUCUCCUGGAACAUUACUGACGCUAAGGCGUGAAAGCGUGGGGAGCAAACAGGAUUAGAUACCCGCGUAGUC